AGAACAGUAGACAGACUGAGAAAAAUAAAACGUGAAGUUCGGCAAAGUGAACUAAUUUAAUGUAUUGUGGUUAAGCUAAAAGCUUUAUUAAUGUACUGCCUUGUAAAUCUUAGAAGAUAACUUUGUUUGGCAAUUGUUUGUCUGUAGUUUAGUUUAAUUGAUAUAAAAUGCCAAUGUCUGCAAAACAGCUAUGGAUGCUAGUUGAAGUUAGCUAAUUAGCGUUAGCUAAGGUCAGCUGUGUCACUGAUUACCGUUAGCUGAGGAAAGACCGAAUCGUGCGGGAAAGUAAUUCCAAUGUCCUGGACCGUCCACCUGUGUCUCCACCUCAUUGAAUGGACCUGAGGAUUUGACUAUCUGCUUCACUGAUUCUGAGGAGCUGUAAGAGGAGGAGAGGACUCUCCAUCACCGCCGGCUCCGUCUCUCCCUCUCAUCUCUCUCUGUCAGCCGGGGUUAACGCGUGCCACCAUUAACCCAUCCUGUCCUAAUACAAGGAGAGCAUCCCAACUUCUCUUUCAACUACAUGACCUUAUGACAUCUCAGGGCUGGUUUCACAAAGUCUAGUCUUACAAAGCAGGCCUUGCCCAGUGCACACACAGACGAACUGGCCAGUGCUUAGGCCAGUGCAAAGCUGAUGAAUCAUAUCAAACAAUUACCCUGUUUUCCCAAAGAGGAGGAUGGAGAGCUGUGAUGGCAGAGGCGACAAAGUCUCAAUCCCUGGAGACCAUGAGAGCAUUUUCUGGCCGCAACUUCAGACGCUGUGUGAUCUGCCCAUCCCGUCGCAUGAGAGAACACAGACACGUCUUUCAGCCGUCCAAGUCCUGAUUUUCCUGUUGGAUUGUCCAGUUCCCUCUGCACCGCAGUCCACGUCACUCCACUGUUGUCCAGAUGGGGCUGCAGACAGACAUGCUACCUCCAGUUGCUUCAUUUCACCUGCCACUGAUGAGCUUUGGAGAUGUGACUCACACUAUACCACCUAUUUCAUACCAACCAGUAUGUGUAGCAACCAUAGCCUGUUAAUAUACAGUCUAUGGUAGCAACACAGACAAAGUCCCACACCGGCUUCCUACCUGCAAACAUGGCCAACUGUGUUCGUUGGAACACACAACCAAGCCGAAGGUACCGUUACUGGGAACCAAUCCCAGAAUCUUUAUGGUGGAGGGACAGAGCACCCAGGAUUUUUGUUAUCAACAAAUCCUGUGAAGAGACUAAAACCAGCAAUUAAUGUAGUAUGGUCUGUGAAUCCACAGUCUGACAUACAUGUAAUGUUUCUUACACAGAACUCCAGUCAUCCAAAAAAUCCUAAAAACACAUGGAGCCAUCCUGUUGUCACAUAUUACUUUGUUGUGAUGAGCAUGGCCAGUGUAGUUUAUUCUUCUUAGUUCAUUAAUCUAGCAAAGCAUCAUUGAACAUGAGUGUGUUUACACUAAGUGUCUAAAACAACUCUGCGUCAGCAUUUUUUUAAUGUGUGGAGUAGUGUUGGGCAGAGUCCUGUCAGAAACUGGAUUUCUGUGGCACGAAGGCAUAAGCUAUAACACUCAAUCACUACACAGAUCUCACUGUUUUGCAAUAUGAAUAGUUGGUUUCGAUCUCUUCAGGCUUAGUGUGGAUAAAACUGUCAUUACCUGAGACACUUUCAGACCUGCCAACCUGUACGCAUUUUGCGUAGUAGAUACGCAUUUUGACAUCAAAAUACGGUGAUACGAUUUGUCACUUUAAACUACGCGAAAAUCAGGUGACAGGUGGUUUGAGUUCACUCGUUGACGUGCAGUAACCGUCUCAGUCUAACUCUUGAUGAUAGACAGUAGGCAGCCACGAGCAUGCUGGAAAAAAAAACUAAAGAGGAAGAGUUCGACCAAUCACACCAUCGGGUCACUUCCUCUAAUGUCAAGCGGGGAUAUCGCCAUAGACAGUAUGGAUAUCGCUUAUAUAUAUGUCAAUGGGAUAUCGGUUAGUAGUGUUAUUCAUUCCUCCUUCAUUCCCGUUUAGUUUGGUUGGUUUCCCCCAUAUAUCUAUGGUUUUCCCCAAGGGAGGACUGUGCUUGCAAAGGUAAACGGAUUUGAUGUAGAAAGGUGAAAUGAAUUAAUUUACGUAGCCUAUCUGUCAACU